ACUGUGGCUGCCCGGGAGAGAGGAACUAAUACAGAUGAGAAAGUUCCCUGAGUUUCAAAACAGAGACUGGAGGCCCCAACUAGUAGACCUGCUGGACACUCAGCCCAGGCUAAGGAUGUGAGCCAUAUGGAAGAAAAUAUGGAAUUGAGAAGUCUAAAUUUCCAUUGCAAAGAUGGUGGAAAGACUCAGAAGAAUGGGCGCAAGUGGAGGCUUUGGAGGAGAGAAGGUGGCCUGGCGGCUGAGAAAGACUUCUGGUGAAAACAGGAAGACGGAUGACUCUCCCACGUCCACUAAAAUGCAGCGGGGGGCGGUGGGGGGGAAAUAAAUCCACAAGUUUCAAGUCAAUGGAAGAGAACUCCCGGGAGAGACUACAUGACUUUGCCUCAGCUGUGAAGAAAAUGAAGGUCACCAGAAAGGAAACCCUAAAUAUGGAUUUAACCAAAUUUUGUGAGAGGGAGGAGUGUGUGGGAGGCAGUGGCUGAUGAAGAGUCCUAGAUCGUGCUUUUCCACAGAAAGGCAAUAGGCAAUAUUUAAAAACCAAAAAAAAUCGAGAAAAACCUGGGUAAGCUUGUAUUUUAAAAAUACGGAGAAAAUACCAGAAAGAAAACAACCUGAAAGAAGAGGCAUCAGAAGUGUAGAGGAGUACAGCAGGGAUUCUUGGUUUUCUUUCCAGUUCUAGCAGUAUUCAGUUUAUUCAGUUUUUCAGUAAUUUAAUUGCUAUUUUUCAUUCAAAUAAAAUUCAAAAAAUUUUAAAAGGAAAGAAAUGGGAAGGAAUAAAAGAGAAAUGCCUCCAAUUUCAGGUUUCUUCCCCCAGUUGGCUCAGCUGGGUUGUUCUGAGGCCUGAGCCAUUCAGAGUUGAAUUAUCUCCACCACACCCUUGGAAGGAGGGAUGAGAGCCCUGCCAGCGUUUUUCUGAAGAAAUAUGACUGAGAUGACAGAAUUCUUUUUGCCUGUUUGAAAGCGGGCAAACUGGGGGUGACCCUGCAGGCUGGGGGAGAGGGGAUGAAGAAGGCUUGUAAAAGUCCUUUUCCAAAGGAAGAAUUUGCAUUUCCUUUGCUCCCUAAGGAUUUCUACUUGCGGUGUUCCCUGACUCCACCCACCAGGUAGACUUGGCCUUGUGGUCUAGGCAGCACAGAAGCUCAACCUGCCCGGGAGCCGGCCCUGUGUGGCACAGGUGCAUGCCCUACAGCAGUGUGGGUACCAGCUCCACCCCGAGUUCCAAGGACACUGGAGGCUGGAGGCCCAGCCUGCAUAGGUGAACCAGGUUUUGA